GGGGGGAAUGUACAUUUUUUUAAAAGCGUUUGACAGGUUUCUGCAGGAAGGCAGUGUCCCUCUCCGUGCUUUCCAGAAAUGGGCGAGCGUGUCUUUCCCCUGCACACUCGCCAGCGCUGGGUGGUGCCCUUUUCGGAAAGCCUUUCCCAGCGUCUCCCUCGCCACUGUCUUGUCCAUGAGGGUUUUUCAGAAAGAGCUUUGGAUAACCGGAUCAAAACCCAACCGCUUUGCAGCAAUUCAGAGACGGUCCUCCGGUGGGUGUGCUUGUAACCAUCCAGAUAACCGCCGGGGCAGGAGCCCCGAGGCGUGACUGGUGGAGGCGGGACAGGCUGUGCAGACGCCGCCGGCCUUUCCAGGAGCCUGACUCGAGGGAAGAGAGCACGUCGGUGUCUGGGGGAGAGCGGGGAGGGGCUCUUUUCCACAUGCCACUUUCCUGCACUGUUGCUUUUGCCAGCCACACUCUGGACACGGAAGGCACGGAGACAGCGGCUGCUCGCAGGUUUUGCUGCCUUCCAAAGGCCUGCCCUCGACAGUGGUCCUCAACCUGAGAGAGCCUCGGAGUCACCCGCAGGGCUCGUUAACACCCAGACUGCUGACCCCGUAGGUCGGGGAUGGGGCCCAAGAACGAGCACUUUUAACAAGUUCCCAGAUGCUGCAAGUCGGGUCCUUCGAGAACUGCUGGCCCAGAGCCCUGAAGCUCGUCUCUUCCCACUGGUUCUUCUCCCUUCGGGCUGCGUUAGGCACCAGCCUCUGUGCCCCACAGAAUCCCCGUGCCUGGACUGACCUCGUCAUAAGGCUGCGCAGUCUUCCCGGGCCUUUCUCCCCUUUGUGAACCUGAACCCUAGGGUGGGGACCCCCUCUUCUUAUCUCCAUCGCUCCGGGAAGUGUUGAACUGCUCAGCUCUGAGGCUUUUGUUGAAAGUCCCCAGAAGUAUGAGGUGGCUGGAGUGACAUCCCUGGGGGAUUGCACCAGAAGGGCGUGUGCUGGCCAGCGGACAGGCGAAGGCUAGAGGUCACCCUGCGGUUUGAAAGUUGGAGAGUUAUCCCAGGAUCCAGUCUCACUUCCUCUGACCAUCAGAUUCUGACGUCAUGAAGAAGACACUCAGAAACGAAACAGAUCCCCAGCGCAGUGGGCUUGUUUGACGGGGGGGGGGGGCAGAUGGAGACCCCGAGAAGGGAGUGACUCAGGGUCACAGCCCGACGGAUGAUGUAGGUGAGACUCGAACCCCUGGCUCCCCUGACAGCCCCCAGUAGAGGAGGCUGAGGAGGGAGUGUGGUGGGGACAGAGGCUUGGAAACCGGCCUGGGUUCUCCCCCGUCACGGGCUUUGGACACCUCUCUCCAUCCCUGUGGGCCUCUCCCUGCUCUCCUGCCUCCUGAGUCUGAUACCAGGCUUGGUACCAAGGGAUCCUUUGUGGGAAUGGACCGAGCCCCGUGCCUGGCCCGUGGGGGAUGCUGGAGACCUCCUGCCUCGCUUGGCCUCCGCGGGGCUUUCCCGGGCCCCCACCCCACCCUGUCCUCGGCACCCUUGUUCCGAAGGGCAGUGCGGUCUCUGGCUGCGCUUGGGCCCCACGAACCUCCUGCUCCAAGAGGGGAGCAGCUGAAGACUCUUUCCAGUUUCUUCCAGGAAGAGCGCACACCUGAAGGUGCAGAUGGUACCUCAUGUGAUGUCAGCCCCGAUCACACUUUGUCAGCGUCCCUCCCUCCUCACCACAUCCUCCUGGGGUUUUCAGUGUCAGCGCGCAAGUGGAAGGUGCAGGCGCGAGUUAAAUAUAGAAAGGCACCUACUCAGGGUGAAAUGCGUGGGCCGAGCCUCGGAUGAGGGGGCGUAAGCGCAGGCUAAAUUUAGCCGCCCCACUUCCUCUCCCGGCCCCUCACAAGGCCUUAUGCAAACGCCGACGCCCGUCUGUUUCCCGCUGAGGAGGACUCAGGGCUGAGGACAUGACCUUGGAAAUGAAGCCUGCCGGUUCCCCAGGGCCCUCAGCCCCUCGCCCCUUGCUCGUCCCACCUGUUAUCACUUUUUGCCCUCACAGCGGUUCCCAGAGCUGGGCAUGGAGGGUGUCACCCAUCUCACUUCACAGAUGAGGAGGCAGAGGGACCUGCCCACCUUCAUCUCGAGGCGGAGCCCAGACACAAGCUCAGGGUUUCGCACUGACUCCCCGGCAGUUCCUGAGAAGGCAGCCGCAGCGGCCGAUCCGUGUCCCCCGCCCCCCCCCCCCGCCCCCCGUCUACGGCUGUUCCACGGCAUCCAAGCAGUGUGCCCCUCGCUGCAGGUGGAAAACCUGCUGCCCGCGGAAGGGUGAGACCCGGGGCCCGCCAGAGCGCUGCUCCUCCCGGUCUGGUCCUCGGCCCAGCAGCCUCAGCCUCCCCUGGAACUCAGACCUGGGAACGCAGAAGCGCCAAGACCCCGCCCUAGACGGGCCAAGUCCCACUGUAUCUUAACAGGGCUCCGGUGCGACUGGGGUACAUGCUUUAGCUUACAAAGCUGUGGCCUCGUGCUCCAAGUGGUGCUCACUGAGAGAGUCAAUUCGUGGAAUUUUUAGAUUCCGGAAAUUUGUUCUUUCGUUCCCUCAUUUAUCGAGCUGCCACUUAUUAGCUUCUGUGCCUGAGGCCUCGUGCUAGACUCCGAGACAGAAAGUAGCUGCUAACACGUGUAAUUACUUGCUGGGUGUUUGGAGAGCUGUUUUCGAUUUGUUCCGUUUUUUUUAACUGAGUUGUAUUCGGCAUGUAACGUUGUAUUCGUUUCCGCCGUGUGACACAAUGACUCAGUAUUUGUAUACGUUGCGACGGGAUGGCCAUGAGUCUCCUGAACCUCCAUCCAUCACCACACACGGUUACCAACUUUUUUUUCUCAUGAUGAGCACGCUUACGACUGACUCUCUUGGCACCUCUCACAUACACCGUGGAGUAUGGUUAAAACAGUCAUUAGAAUUGUGAAAGUAUGGUUUCCGUGCCGUACGUUGUAUCUCUCAGACUGCUCUAUUUUAUAACUGAGGGGUGGUACCAUUUGACAACUUUCACCCAUUUUGUUUCUCCUCCUGUCCCUGCCUCUGCAGCCACCAAGCUGGUCUCUGUAUCUGUGAGCUCCUUUGGGGUGGUUUUCUGUUUUUCGUGAUUUCGAGUCCAUGGUAUUUGUCUGUCUUUGUCACUCUUCAUAAUGCUCUCAAGUUCCAUCCGUGUUGUUGAAAAUGGCAAAAUAGCCUUCUUUUUAUGACCAAGUACUAUUCCACCGUGUAGUCCACUGUGGCUCAGUGGGUUAAGGAUCCGUGUUGUCACUGCUGUGGCUCAAGUGGCUGCAGUGGCACAGGCUCGAUCCAUGGCCGUGGAACUUCCACACUCCGCAGGGCACAGCCCCACAAACACGUUCCACUGUGUAUAAAGAGCACAUUUUUUUUAGCCAUUCAUUCGUUGGUAUACCCUUAGGCUGCGUCCCUGUCUUGGCUCUUUUGAACAAUGCUACAGUGAACACAGGGGUGCAUCUAGUGUUUUCAUUUCCUUUGGAUACAUACCUAGAAGUGGAAUUAUUGGAUCAUGUGGCAGGACUGUUUUUAAUAUUUGGCUGGAUGGAGGUGGCCUCUGAGUCGUGCCUCAACUUCCCCCAGGCCACCACCCUUGCCUGUGUCCUCUGGAGCUCCUUAGAGCACAGGCUGAACGCUGCUCGCGAGACCAGCUUCUUCAUGCUGUAGAUGGGGGAACAGGACCCGAGAUGAGAUGCCUGGUCCAAGAACACGCAGGGAGUGAGGAUGGGGCCAUGCGGGGCGACGGCGAGCUUUUGUCCCGCACAGGACCUUUCCGCUCCAGGGAGCACAUGCUGAUUCCUACUGGGGCUUUUCUUUCCUUUCCUUUGCUUUUCUUUUUCCUUUUUAGGGCCACACCUGCACCUGCAGCAUAUGGAGGUUCCCAGGUUAGGUGUCAAAUUGGAGCUAUAGCCGCCAGCCUAUGCCACAGCCACAGCAAUGCAGGAUCCAAGCCGCAUCUGCGACCGACACCGCAGCUCACGGCAACACUGGGUCCUUAACCCACUGAGCGAGGCCAGGGAUUGAACCCACGUCCUCAUGGAUACUAGUCGCGUCCUUCACCCACUGCCCACUGAGCGACAACAGGAACUCCCUGCGGGGGCAUUUCUAAACUGCCUAGAGAUCGCGUUGACUGCUCUACCCCCGCCCCCAGAACUAUUCUCAUUCAUCGUCUGUCUCACACACACACAUGCGUGCGCAUACACACGGUAUGACGUAAAAGUCAGGAUGCUCAGAGAGCCCUGAAGCCCAGAAGGAUCCCAGCCCCUUGGGUCAGGAAUCCUUAUCUGGGUUUCUUGUCUUCACUGAAAGCCACACAGGGGGAGGGGGAGGUACAGGGGCUCAGAUGGGCGCUGGGUGCAUGGCCAGCCGUGGAUGCUCGAGGGUGACCCCCCCAGACUGGCAGUGUGAGUGGGGAGUCACACAUUUCAAACAAACCUUUUUUUAUACCCACACCUCCCAGCUGGUGACAUUCACUGCCUAGAACUUGGUGGGAGUUUGGAAGGCGCCUCUGCUGGGGCUGAAACUAGACCCCCUCAGUCUGUCUGGGGUUUGGGUUCGGGGGAGGGCUGUCGCCAUUGCAUGAGCAUCAGGUUUGGCUCAAAGCAGGCAGCCCUCCCUCCCUGCUCCCGUCUCAGGUUCUCUGCCAGGAGGAGCCACCCCUCUGCCAGGGCUGAGGGCUGAGAAGCCCACCUCAUGCUCCUGUGCACGACCGUCCCCACCCAGUCAGGGCCUCCAAGUUACGGAGAAGGAAACGCGAGUUUCAAAGAGGCUGAAUCCGCAGCCCAGAGGACCCAGCGGGGCUGCUAGGUGGCAGGGAGCCUGUGGCAUUCGGAUUAGCGGCCCUGGCUCAGAGGGUGGCUUCCGUGUUCAGACCCCAGCAGGGAGCGGGCCACCCUUGGGCCAGCUGUGUGACUGCCCAGCUUCACUCUCCAUCAUCCAGCGGUGACUGCGAAGCCGCCCACACCGUAGAGUGAGCGUGAAGACGAACGUGACCGAAGCACGUAGCGGAGUCCAUGGCGGGUGGUGAAGCUCGGUGCAUGUAAACUGCUUUGUGGCUGUGGCUCUGAUGAGGAUGGUCGGUACACAAACGUCUGUGCGGACGGCCCCAGCCUUUACCGGAGCUCACCUUGGGAUUGGCUUGACGUUAAGGAUGGUUCAAAAGCAACACUCGGGAGAACCAUUCUUCUUCUUUUGAAUGUUGACCUUCUCUCAGGCCCGUGACGUGCAGUGCCUGCUCUCUCGUGAUGCUGAGCAGUGGCAGCCGCAGCUCCCAGCCAGCCGCGCGAUCAUGGGGUGAACCACGGAUCCUCCUGCAACCGUUCCGUUUUUCACUGUCAGCACAGUGGUCAGUAAGUUACAUGAGAUGUUCAGCAUUUUAGUCGUGGGCUUUGUGUUCGAUGCCUUUGGCCAACAGGAGGUUAAUGGAAAUGCCCUGAGCACAUUCAAGGGAGGCUCGGUUAAGGGAUGGCAUCCAGCAGGUGCGGUGUGUUAGAUGCGUUUUUGGUUGAUGGUGUUUUCGGUUUACCAUGGUUUUCUCGGGACAUAAGCCCAUCAUCCGUGAAGGAAGACCUGGAUUCAAGUGUUACCUCCCCGGUUGCUGUUUGUAGGUGGAAGGACCGGAGUUUCCCAUGCAGUCGUUGAAGGAAGUGGGGCAAAGAGAGGGGCAUGGCUUCUCCAUGAUCAGGGACAAAGCAAGGACGCGUCUGGUUUGGGUGUGUCAUUUUUCCAUAACGCCAAGGUUCCGGUCACGUGCCUUCGCUGCUCUCCCUGAGACCAAAGGCUCCUGGGCACCUCAGGCCAGUCCGCAUGCUGGGGUCUUCGCAUCAAGCCAAGCUUUGCAAAACUUGGACUUCUAACCAGGUGCCCACUUGGCAUUUGAGACCAAUCUGUGUCACACAUCAGUCCUCAUUUGUAAAGUGCCAGCUGCCUGCCAGGCACUCAGGACGAAAUGCAAAUGAUAGUCACAGAAAAGCCAUGUUCCUACCCUGGCCCCAGACUCACGAAAGGAAUAUCCUUCCAUUGCUGGCUUGGGGUGGUGACGGGCCCGGGGCUCCAGGUGCCCUGUGUUCUUCCUGCCAGCAGCCUUCUCUCCUCCUCCGACUCCUUAAGAUGAGCAGACGCUUCGGAGUGGAACCACUGACAUCUUUCUGAGCCUUUUGAUCCACGUCCUUCAUCGGCCCCCAGAUCUUAAAGAUGUUCUGGAAGGUGGGCGCCUGAAGAUGUUCCCUCCGGCCUUGUUUGCGCUCAGCCGCAGCCUGUCGGGGAGCGAAGCAUUGGGUUAACUACGAUCGAGCCAUGCGACGCAGCAUCGUGCAGCUGUCAAGGGGGGGUGUCGUAAGUGGACACUCCGUGACUUGCGACAGCACCGAUGCUGAGAAACGAAGCAAGUGGUGCGGCCGAUAGACAUAAAAAUAAACGCACCUGCGUAUGUGCCCAGAGAAGUCCGGCUCAAGAAGGACACCCAGUGUGAACACUGGCGAUGUCUGGGCAGGGAUUCUAAGUCAUCUUAAUUUUCUUUUCACAUUUGCGGAAAUAGCCACGGUAUGUACUCUUUUUAUGGUCAAGAAAAAAAUCGGGAGUUCCCGUUGUGGAUCAGUGGUGAAUGAACCCAGCUAGUAUCCAUGAGGACCUGGGUUCGAUCCCUGGCCUCACUCAGUGGGUUAAGGAUCCGGCGAUGCCGUGAGCUGAGGUGUGGGUCUCAGACACGGCUCUGACCUGGCACUGCUGUGGCUGGGAUGUAGGCUGGCGGCUGCAGCUCUGAUUCGACCCCUAACUUGGGAACCUCCGUAUGCCACGGGUGCAGCCC
rnacentral:lncRNA from 1 species